ACGUAUGGGGCGAGCGUUGUUCGGAGUUAUUGGGCGUAAAGGGCGUGUAGGCGGCUCUCGCAAGCUUGGUGUUAAAGGUUUCGGCUUAACCGGAACAGUGCGCUGAGAACUGCGGAGCUGGAGUCUAGGAGGGGGAGCUGGAAUUCCAGGUGUAGGGGUGAAAUCUGUAGAUAUCUGGAAGAACACCGGUGGCGAAGGCGAGCUCCUGGCCAUAGACUGACGCUGAGGCGCGAAAGCGUGGGGAGCAAACAGGAUUAGAUACCCUGGUAGUCCACGCUGUAAACGAUGUGCACUAGGCGUUGGAGGCUUUCAGCCUUCGGUGCCGUAGCUAACGCGUUAAGUGCACCGCCUGGGGAGUAUGCUCGCAAGGGUG
rnacentral:rRNA from 1 species